rnacentral:lncRNA from 1 species
CCGUGGGUAGCCUUAUGUACGCCAUGGUCUGCACGAGGCCAGACAUCGGUUAUGCUGUAGGAGUCGUGAGUAGAUUCCUAUCAAAUCCAGGAAAAGAACACUGGAGUGCUGUGAAAUGGAUACUGAGGUAUCUAAAAGGAACUGCCAAAAAGUGCUUAUGUUUUGGCAAUGGAAAUCAAAUGCUCGUUGGAUAUGUAGAUGCUGAUAUGGCCGGAGAUAUAGAUUCAAGAAAAUCUACAUCUGGAUAUUUGAUUACUUUUGCAGGGGGAGCUGUCUCAUGGCAAUCUCGACUACAAAAGUGCGUUGCUUUAAGUACCACAGAAGCAGAGUACAUCGCAAUCACUGAAGGCUGUAAGGAGAUGAUGUGGAUGAAGAAGUUCCUGCAAGAGUUAGGCCAGAAUCAAGAAAUUUAUGUUCUCUAUUGUGAUAGUCAAAGUGCAAUUCACCUCAGCAAGAAUUCGACAUACCAUUCAAGGUCAAAACACAUCGAUGUGAGGUAUCAUUGGAUUCGUGAUGUGUUGGAGAAUAAACUGCUGCAAAUAGAGAAAAUUCACACCAAUGACAACGGAGCAGAUAUGAUGACAAAAGCUCUACCAAAAGAGAAGAUAGAGUUUUGUAAACAAGCUGCAGGCUUGGCAGCAACCCCAAACUAAUCUAAGGAUAGUUUCCCUUUGGCUGGAGGGGGAGAAUUGUUGGUUUCCAGCCACAAUAGUAACAAUAAUGCAUCAAUGGGAAAUGUUGAAUUUUUCUCCACUAGCAUGCCUAUGAAUAAUAGCUUGCGGUGGUAAAAAUUCUACCAUGUCAGUAACAAAUUGACAAACUUGGCAAUUGGUAACUAUUGUCAAAGAUGGUGCAGCAAGGAUUGGAAAAUAAGAACCAAGCAUUUAAUGCACACGGUUCAAAACCCUCUAUAAAUAGAGAAGAGUUUCAGCAAUGAAACACACCACAACACAAUCCUCACUCACAUAGAGUUGAGAGAAAAAUAGAGAGUUCCUCAUAAGAGUGUGAGAGAAAAAUAUAGUGAGCCAAUUUGUGAGAGUUGUAUCUACAAAUUGAGAUACAUAGUUAGGUCCACCUGAGGGUGAAGAUUUGUAUUCCCAUUAUUAUUAUAGUGGAGAUUUAAGAGGCCUACGGGUCCCGUGGUUUUUCCUUACUCACAUUGAGAAGGUUUUCCACGCUAAAAUUUUGUUGUGUCAUUUUACGUUUCCGCUAAAGUGCCUAUUUUGAGUUCACGGAGGAGGGAAAUUAUGCAGGCAUUUCCCAACAGUGGUAUCAGAGCACUCGUUGCUCUGGGACUAUGAGUUUUCGUAUAUGCAAGAUAAUUCUUAAUAUGCUCUGUGGCUGCAACAUUGUUUGAUCUUCCACAUCAGAAAAGAAAUUUCUUGUCGCUAGAAAUAAAGUGAGGUAGUGAUAUAUUGCAUGUCUAGGAGUUCUGGCAAGGAAAGACUUGGUAUUUAAGCGUGUCUAUUGACCCACCUUUCUUACCUGGGAACUUUCAUGGUGCACUAUUCACGAACUCAUAUUUAUUCUAGUAUACGAUACUAGUCACACUUGUUAAAGAAAUUAUUUCCUGUGUAACUCAAGAUGGAGGGUGCAAUCAGCCAUGAUGGUGAUAUGUUCAAGCUAACUGCUGACAAUUACACAUAUUGGAAGCCAAUGAUGGAAGACCACUUGUAUUGCAAAGACUUUCAUGAGCCAAUCACCCAAAAAGAUAAACCCUAGAAGAAGACCGCUACGGAAUGGGAGACGGAGAAUCGAAAAACAGUGGCUAUGAUCCGAAAAUACAUUGAUCGAAGCUUGUUCGAGCAUGUAUCAACUGAUACCAAUGCGUAUGAGUUAUGGACGAAGCUUGAAUCAUUGAUUCAAAAGAAGACGCCGAGAAAUAAAGCACACCUUGUUAGAAGACUGGUGAAGUUAGAGUACUCAGACGGUCAAAAUAUGAUCGAGCAUUUAAACACCUUCAAAGGUAUUGUAAAUCAGUUGACAAAAACAGAAAUGAAGAUAGAUGACGAGUUGCAAACACUUCUACUUCUCAGUUCCUUACCUGAGAGUUGGGACACUUUAGUUGUCACUCUCAGCAAUUCUGCUCCAGAUGGAAAACUUAGCAUGGAUUCAGUCACUGACUGCCUGUUAAAUGAAGAGUCAAGACGAAGGGAAAGAGGCUUGAACAAUUAGUUCGAAGCCAACGUCAUUGACAACAGAGGAAGGAGCAAGAACCGUGAAAAAGGUGGUCGUGAAAAAUCACGAGGCAGAUCAAAGACUCGCACUAAACUAAGUUGUUAUUACUGUGGAAAACCAGGCCAUAGAAAGUUUGAGUGCAGAUUCUUCAAGAGAGAUCAGCAGGCUGGAACGAUCCAUCCCGAUAUAAUCGAUUCAAAGAAGAAAGAAGAAGGAACCACGACAGCAGUCGUAGCAACUAACGAGAAUUUCUUUCUCGUUGAAGAUGAAAAUUAUCUAAAUGUAGCGUCUGAUGACUGCAUUUGGAUAAUUGACUCAGGAGCAUCCUUUCAUGUAACCCCUCAUGAAGAAUUUUUCUCAUCAUAUCAAAAAGGAGACUUUGGUAUGGUGAAGAUGGGCAAUCAUGUCACAAGCAAGAUUGUUGGCAUUGGCGAGGUGACUCUGGCUACAGAUAAUGGCUCUAAGCUCGUGUUGAAGGAGGUUAGACAUGUUCCAGACAUGCGUCUAAAUCUUAUCUCGACAGGAAAAUUAGAUGAUAUUGGUAUGAUAAACCAAUUUGGAGAUGGCAGAUGGAAGCUUAGUAAAGGAAGCAUGAUCAUUGCUCGUGGUAAAAAGGAAGGCUCUCUGUAUGUUAUGCAGGGAAAGAUAAACAAGGGAGAUAUCAAUGUAUCUCAAGGCAUGAGCAAAGAAUUGUGGCACAAACGACUUGGCCACAUGAGUGAGAAAGGUUUGGAGAUUCUUGCUAAGAAUCAUCUUCCAAACAUCAAGGGUCAACCACUUGAAUCCUGUGAAGAUUGUCUAGCAGGCAAACAACACAGAGUAUCUUUUCAAAGAUCGGAUGAUGCAAAAAGAAGAAAGCAUAUCCUCGAUCUUGUUCAUUCAGAUGUUUGCUCUACAUCUGAAAGGUCCCUUGGUGGUUCACAAUACUUUGUUACCUUCAUUGACGAUCACUCUAGAAAAGUGUGGGUGUAUCCAUUGAAGAAGAAAGAUCAAGUUCUUCAGGUUUUCAAAGAAUUUCAUGCCUCUGUAGAACGGGCAUCUGGAAGAAAACUGAAAUGUCUAAGGACAGAUAAUGGUGGAGAGUAUAUAGGCACAUUUGCAGCCUACUGUAAAUCUCAUGGAAUAAGACAUGAGAAGGUACCUCCUAAAACUCCUCAGAUGAAUGGAGUAGCUGAAAGGAUGAAUAGAACGAUUGCAGAGAAAGUCAGAAGCAUGCUUUCUCAAGCAAAACUUCCCAAAUUAUUUUGGGGUGAAGCAGUGAGAACUGCAGUUGAUUUGAUUAAUUUGUCUCCUUCAAGACCUUUAAAUGGAGAGAUACCAGAUGAAGUAUGGUAUGGAAAGAAAGCCUCCUAUGGUCAUUUGAGAGUCUUUGGAUGCAGGGCAUUUGUGCAUGUUCCAAAAGAUGAAAGAGCAAAGCUAGAUGCUAAGACGAAGGAGUGCAUAUACCUUGGUUCACCAAGAGAUGAACUUGGCUUUAGAUUAUGGGAUCCUGCUACUAAGAAGAUGGUUCGAAGCAGAGACGUGGUAUUCUAUGAAGAUCAGACGAUCCACGACAUUCAAUCUAAAAAGCCAAAGACCAUUGUGGUGCACAAUUCAGGGGGAGAGAUUCCUCAGAUGAAUUACGAUCAUGAUCAGCUAACAGAACCAAAUCAGAUGGAGGAGCCUGAUCAGAUAGAACAAAAUCAAGCAAUGCAUGAAGAGCAGAUGGCAUAUGAUGAUGUUGAUGUUGAGAUGGAACAAGAACCUCAAUUGAGAAGAUCAACGAGAUCUAGACAACCAUCAAAAAGAUACUUCUCAGGUGAAUAUGUAAAUUUCACUGAGGAAGGGGAACCUCAAAGCUUCAUGGAAGCUAUAGAGACAACCAAUAAGGAAAAAUGGUUACAAUCCAUGGAAGAAGAGAUGAAAUCCCUAAAGGAGAAUGAGACGUAUGACCUGGUAAAAUUACCAGAUGGAAAGAGGGCAUUGAAAAAUAAAUGGGUGUUCAAACUCAAGUCUGAAGAGAACAACCCAAACCCCAAGUACAAAGCACGAAUUGUUGUGAAGGGGUGCCAUCAAAAGAAAGGCAUUGAUUUUGAAGAAAUAUUCUCACCGGUGGUGAAGAUGACAUCCAUUAGAGCAAUCCUUGGUCUAGCUGCAAAACUAGACUUAGAGAUAGAACAACUUGAUGUUAAAACAGCAUUCUUGCAUGGAGACCUAGAGGAAGAAAUCUAUAUGGAGCAACCUAAAGGUUUCGUUGAACCAGGCAAAGAACACCUUGUGUGUCGCUUGAAGAAAAGUUUAUAUGGCUUAAAGCAGGCUCCAAGACAAUGGUACAAGAAGUUUGAUCUCUUCAUGACCCAACACAACUUCACAAAGACGUCAACAGACCAUUGUGUGUUUGUGAAGAACUAUGAAAAUGGAGAGUCCAUCAUACUUUUAUUGUAUGUUGAUGAUAUGCUUAUUGUUGGAAAAGAUAAGACAAAGAUAUCUGCUCUCAAGAAAGCAUUGAGCAAAUCUUUUGCUAUGAAGGAUUUGGGUGCAGUGAAGAAGAUUCUUGGAAUGAAGAUCAUUAGAGAUCGAUCAAAAAGAAUGUUGUGGAUGUCACAAGAAGAAUAUCUCAAGAAAGUUCUUGAAAGGUUCAACAUGCAUAAUGCAAAACCUGUGCAUGUUCCAUUACCUGGUCAUUUGAAACUCAGUAAGACACAAUGUCCUGAGAAUGAUCAAGAGAAAGAAGAAAUGAGCAAGGUGCCCUAUUCUUCAGCCGUGGGUAGCCUUAUGUACGCCAUGGUCUGCACGAGGCCAGACAUCGGUUAUGCUGUAGGAGUCGUGAGUAGAUUCCUAUCAAAUCCAGGAAAAGAACACUGGAGUGCUGUGAAAUGGAUACUGAGGUAUCUAAAAGGAACUGCCAAAAAGUGCUUAUGUUUUGGCAAUGGAAAUCAAAUGCUCGUUGGAUAUGUAGAUGCUGAUAUGGCCGGAGAUAUAGAUUCAAGAAAAUCUACAUCUGGAUAUUUGAUUACUUUUGCAGGGGGAGCUGUCUCAUGGCAAUCUCGACUACAAAAGUGCGUUGCUUUAAGUACCACAGAAGCAGAGUACAUCGCAAUCACUGAAGGCUGUAAGGAGAUGAUGUGGAUGAAGAAGUUCCUGCAAGAGUUAGGCCAGAAUCAAGAAAUUUAUGUUCUCUAUUGUGAUAGUCAAAGUGCAAUUCACCUCAGCAAGAAUUCGACAUACCAUUCAAGGUCAAAACACAUCGAUGUGAG